rnacentral:rRNA from 1 species
CGACGUGCCAGCCGCCGCGGUAAUACGGAGGGUGCAAGCGUUAAUCGGAAUUACUGGGCGUAAAGCGCACGCAGGCGGUCUGUCAAGUCGGAUGUGAAAUCCCCCGGGCUCAACCUGGGAACUGCAUUCGAAACUGGCAGGCUAGAGUCUUGUAGAGGGGGUAGAAUUCCAGGUGUAGCGGUGAAAUGCGUAGAGAUCUGGAGGAAUACCGGUGGCGAAGGCGGCCCCUGGACAAAGACUGACGCUCAGGUGCGAAAGCGUGGGGAGCAAACAGGAUUAGAUACCCUGGUAGUCCACGCCGUAAACGAUGUCGACUUGGAGGUUGUGCCCUUGAGGCGUGGCUUCCGGAGCUAACGCGUUAAGUCGACCGCCUGGGGAGUACGGCCGCAAGGUUA